rnacentral:rRNA from 1 species
AUUGAACGCUGGCGGCAGGCCUAACACAUGCAAGUCGAGCGGAUGAAGGGAGCUUGCUCCUGGAUUCAGCGGCGGACGGGUGAGUAAUGCCUAGGAAUCUGCCUGGUAGUGGGGGAUAACGUCCGGAAACGGGCGCUAAUACCGCAUACGUCCUGAGGGAGAAAGUGGGGGAUCUUCGGACCUCACGCUAUCAGAUGAGCCUAGGUCGGAUUAGCUAGUUGGUGGGGUAAAGGCCUACCAAGGCGACGAUCCGUAACUGGUCUGAGAGGAUGAUCAGUCACACUGGAACUGAGACACGGUCCAGACCCCUACGGGAGGCAGCAGUGGGGAAUAUUGGACAAAGGGCGAAAGCCUGAUCCAGCCAUGCCGCGUGUGUGAAGAAGGUCUUCGGAUUGUAAAGCACUUUAAGUUGGGAGGAAGGGCAGUAAGUUAAUACCUUGCUGUUUUGACGUUACCAACAGAAUAAGCACCGGCUAACUUCGUG